UCUUCUUUUUUGUUGCACUUUUCAUCCCAACCAGGCAGAGCAAAAGGAAAAGAGACGCUGGAGGAAAAUCUAGAAGAGGAGAGCUGGAAAAAUUGCUAACCUGAAUCCGAAAUAAACCGGCAGAGCUCCCCGGGCAAAAAAAUCAAAAUCAAAA